CUCGGACGAGUUGCCACCCGUCCUACCCGAGAGCUCGGCAUCCUCAGAGCAGCGGGACAGGGCGGGGCCGUGCGGAAAGCGUCUCCAGCAAGCUUUUGUGUGCAGGAAGGAGCUCAAAACUUAGUUUUAAAACUAUCCUUCCAAAUGCCUGGAAACCAGG